UUUUAGAGCUGUACAGCCAAAAUGAACCCUCUUUGCAUUACUGAUCACCAUGUACCUGUUAUCACUGUAAAGCUGCUUUGACUAUACUAUACUCAGAGCCAUAUAGAGAGAGAGUUGCGACAACUCCAUAGACUCCAAUGGAACGGUUUUUUACAGCAAUGGUGGCUCGUGGAGCCUCUCAAUAGUUCCCGGAAGUAGCAGCCGCGCCGUAGAGUUACAGCAGAACAGACCGCUUCUGAUGUACUUUUAAAAGCACAAAGGGGAUUCAGAUCCUGAAGACUCCAUGCAAUGAUGCUGCACCCUCACCGUCUCUGCUCCUUGGAUUUUGCAAGCUUUUCCUUGCUCCUUAUUUUAUAAACCUUUAAUAAACAUAAA